rnacentral:rRNA from 1 species
UACGUAGGGUGCAAGCGUUGUCCGGAAUUAUUGGGCGUAAAGAGCUCGUAGGCGGUUUGUCGCGUCUGCUGUGAAAACUCGGGGCUUAACUCCGGGCCUGCAGUGGGUACGGGCAGACUAGAGUGCGGUAGGGGAGACUGGAAUUCCUGGUGUAGCGGUGAAAUGCGCAGAUAUCAGGAGGAACACCGGUGGCGAAGGCGGGUCUCUGGGCCGUAACUGACGCUGAGGCGCGAAAGCUAGGGUAGCAAACGGG